GAAAUGCGAUAAGUAAUGUGAAUUGCAGAAUUCAGUGAAUCAUCGAAUCUUUGAACGCACAUUGCGCCCGCCAGCACUCUGGCGGGCAUGCCUGUCCGAGCGUCAUUACACCCCUCGCCGGCCCCCAGGGACCGGCGGUGUUGGGGGCCGCGCGCAGCCCGCGCGCCCCUGAAAUGCAGUGGCGGCCCCGCCGUUCGCGUCCCCUGCGCAGUAGCACACGCUCGCACCGGAGCGCGGCGCGGCCACGCCGUAAAAUCAGCGCGCCACCCCCGGCGCACGACCCCACGAGUUUGACCUCGGAUCAGGUAGGAAUACCCGCUGAACUUAAGCAU
rnacentral:misc_RNA from 1 species